rnacentral:lncRNA from 1 species
GGAUGUGAGUAGGUUGUAGGUGUAAUAUACACACUUCUGCCCCGUCUCCUGUUUCAGGUUGCUUGGCACGUAGAGGCGAGUUGUUGGAAUGAUCUUGCUCUCAGGGUGGGCGUGAAUGCAAGAGGAGAGGGGCGGAGAAAGUCCCCCAGUGCUUGAGUGAAGGGACAGGGUGGUGGCAGGGGUGGUGCUGGCUGGGGUGUGGGGGGAGCACCAGUCUGUUCAGGUAGGGGAAGAGGGGAGGGGUCCACGGCCAGCGUGUGUUUGGAGAGCCAGGGAAGAGGGAGGAGAGGACACCAGCAGAGAGGGAGGGACUGGGCAGUGCACUGCUGAGGCAGGUUACCGCGCUUGGCCCCCUUAAGAUCAGUUGCACUGCAGAAAGGGAGAGUGUGAAAGAAACAAAUCGGGAGAGUGAGUGAGAGAAGGAGAGAGAGGAAGAGGUGAAAAUCACCCAGACAGAGACAGGGAGAAAGACUAGGUGACAAGAGAAGGACAGGAAGAGAAAGAGAGAUAAAGAAGAGGUACUAUGCUGUAGGGGGCCAGCUUAUGCCUGCUCUGUUCCUGAGGUUAUGCCUGCCAGUAACCUGAGACGCGUGCUCCUGCUGAUAAAGGAGGAUUAAACACGGGGAAGGUAAAGGGAAGAUGUCCAGGGUUUUGGUGACUUAAACCUUUGUGCUGAGUUGGGAACAGGAGGCGUCCACAGACACAUUCUAUUGUCCUUUAGCCUCUGGCCAGGGUCUGUGUGGGUCCGGGACGCUCGGAAGAGGGAGGUGGGGGCUGCUGCUGCUGCUGCACACAACGGCGGCGUCCGGAUGGCUCUCUGAAUGAUCCUCAUUCAUCCCCCUCUCCACCCACUCCGCACGCAGACACACACCAGAGGAAUCGCACCACCCCGCAUCCCCUGCCUGUCAUUCGAUGCUUGGCUCGGGCACCCGUUUGAAGCAGUGGCGGCAUCAGAAUCGGCCGCGGUGCUGGACCAGACGCCUCUCAUCUUCACCAGGGAGGCUGUGGCGCUGAAGAGGAGGAGGAGGAGGAGGAAGAGCAGGGUGUCUAUCUCUGGGAGCCUCCACAUCAGAGCAGCGGGACCAGACCAAAAGGCCAAAGCCUCAUCGAGGCGCCUCGACACCCCGCGCUCCGCGCUUUCAUGUGUUCUUCACUCCCCAGCCUACUGCUGCAGCAGUGCACCGUACCUGAUGGACAGAGCAUGGAGCACUGGUCUGUGCACUGAAAGGCUUCACAGGUCUUCAUGAAUAAUUGAAUGGGAAUGGGAGCUGUCUGCUGAUGGGGACACAAAGCAUUUGGUUUGAAAUGCAGUCGGCCUGAUGGACACCAUGCUGCUGUGGGGGCUCGGGAAAAGGCUGGACUUCAGCAGGAGGGACUAGACACACACUCCACUGUCACGUCCGUCGCCAGCUUUGACAACACCAAACUCUCGGGCCGCAUCAAUGCCAGUUUUUUUAAAGAACAAAAGAAAAUGCAGCAGAAGAAAAUAAAGUCAAACCCUCAACCCCCCCA